GCCCACGAGACGAAUCAACCGCAGCUGGACUAGGGCCUAGGGCAACCGACGGCGGCGGCGCAGGAACAAUUUUGUAGCCACUCGACAGAAAUCAGCGGUGGUGCGGGGGCAUCCAUCAGCAUCCAUACGAGGGCUUCAAGCAACGGCUGCGCGAGGGCAUCAAGCAAGUGCAACGCCAGGAGAUUAGGUGAGGUACCUUGCAAAACUAUUUGCGUAUUGCCACAAGCUGAAUCCGCUUCUCCCAGUGCCACCUCGUAGCAUAUGGUUGCUGAAUAAAGGGAGUAGUUUGUGUGAGCAGCUGCAAUGCAUAAUCAAAGUUGUGAAAAACAAGGCUAGGAAUGGAGGAGCUAGCAGCAGCCAUGUACACC